AUGAAUUUGGAGGAAUUAGAUGUAAAUUAUCCGCGUAAUAAGUUUGAAAUUGAUGAGUUAUGUGAUUUUGAUUUGAUAUAGCGAAGUUUCAUCCAGUUUGAAGGAAUUAGAUGUAAGUUAUCCGCGUAAUAAGCUUGAAAUUGAUGCUUAGCGUAGUUAUAACAUUAGUGAAAUUAUGAUCACUGGUGCUGGAAUUAAAUGUUUGUGUUGUGGUUUGCGGAAUCUGAUUAAAAUUAAUAUCUCAAUGAAUCCUCUGCUUACAGAUAGGUCACUCUUUACAAAAAUCUGAUUUAGUUCUUGAUGAGAACUUUCAUAUUGUUAUUUCUUCAAGGUUUGUCUUUGAAGGGAGUGAUGAAGGUUCAAUUAGUUGGGCACUUGAUGGCGCAUUUUCAUAUUACCUAGCAUUUUCAUAACAUAUAAUUACUUCAUCUUACCAUUUAGUAUUCUUAGUUUCUUACCAUUUAGUAUUCAAAAAGUAUUAUAUGUUAUAACUAUAUCCAGUGACAUAAAUUAUUGAAGCUUAAUGAAGCAUAAGGAACUAGAGAUUAUGUAGAUGUUCUUCAUAUGUUUCAGUGAAUAUGUUCUAACUCUCUAUGUGAUCAAAUGUGUAAUCUCUCUUUUGAGCCAAGUCAAAUAAUACUCACUGGUAAAGAUGUUUGAUCUUGACAGUCGACACUCUAUUAUAGCCCUAAACCCGUGACCCAUUGGUGCCAGAGAUUGCUCACAUGUAAAAAACUUACGAGUCUGAGUACGAGGCCACUGCUCAUAGCUAGACACAUAAGUAUGCCAUGGGCUGAUCUCUUGAGUCUUGUUUGUAUUCUUGGAAUGUCUCAGUGAAGAAAUGGUUGUUAAGAUAUUUCACCUCAGCACAAAGAUGACAACACAAUAAUAGACUGUUGUUUGACCCGCUUGAAUUAUUGCUAAAACUUGUAUUCACAAGAUUUAUAUAUAUUCUGCUACUUCAACUUGCAUAUCUAAUAUUUCCUUUUCGCCACUGGCUACACACAAGGAACUUGUUAGCUAAUCCAAGGUUUACACUCGCCGUACGGGUUAGCACUUAGUAUCAUAAUUGACUUCAUCUUAAAGAGACCUGACUCACACUUUUCCUAAUAGAUACCUGGAUGGGUUAGAUUAUCAAAUUGCUAGGCUUGGAGCAAGUAUGCUAAACUGGAAAGAUCUUUGAGUGAAAAAAAAAAAUGGGCCCGAGCCCUAUUUGAGUCUAAAAUUGCACAACCUGCACUUGACAUGUCAGACUUGUGCAAACUCAAUAUAACAAAGUGCUCAGCGACUCAACUCGAUGUCCUGCAAGGGUUCGGAUAGGAACUGAAUUCGACAACUUUCCUUCAAGAGGCUUGUUCGUCAACUCUUGCUAUUCACACUACCAAACUGGAAUUCAAUAAAACAUGGCUAAGAAAUGAUUCUCCACUGUUGGGUGGCGCGGCUCGUGACCCUAGCCUAGUUCGGUAUAUGAAGCUGGAGCUAAGAAUACACCUGUUGCCUGAUUUUUCUAUUAGGAUGGUGUGCUGCUAAUAGUACUGCUAAUAAUGUAUUCACAAAAGAAUGAGAGCAGGUGACUCUAGGCAUGGCGAGUGCAUGGGGCCUUAAUGGUAAAUUUUGUUUUACUGCAGUUUUGGUAUACACAUUUAUUUUUCUGCUUAUAUAGGUGGAAAUACAAUUCAUAGUGUUCAGCCGGUUUAUGCAUUUACAAUCAACUUAAGUUGAUUCAUAAUUUAUCAUCUCCACCUCUACAUAACACUUGGAAGAGAAAUGGGAAAUUUGGGAUAAAAUCCGAAGUAUGGCUUCUUUCGUGACCUCGCUCUUAGUUGUCAUAUGAAAUUAUGAUUAUGAAGUUAUUGAUCUUUUUUUUUGUAAUUACAAUGUUUAUCAAAGACAAACGGAAGGCGACAAGCAUGAACAUGAUGGAUUAGCCACUUAAAAAAGUAGCAACUCCUGACGGGUCGCAUUUCGUUAAGGUAGAGGUAUCAUGAUUAUUUGUAGGCAGGAUCUUUGACAUUUUGUGCAGGCAGGAGGUCACAGGAACAUGGUAUAUGGCAUAGGAUCUUCGGAUCUGCAUUACAUGGUGACUGGGACGUCAUCCUCUUCUAGCGGAUGUGCAUCAUCAUCUGCUGAGUACCAACGGUCCCUAUAAGAGGCUCAAGCCAUGCGAGAACAAUUGGCAGACAUUCAAGGUCUCGUCUUGAAAAUGAGACAAAGGCAAGGAAAGUCUUAGAACUCAUCUUGAAAUUGAGAGAACGAGAGAAGAUCUUCAACAACACAUAAACGAAGCAGUGUAAAAAGAGUUGCACAACUUCAUGAAGAAUUGACGUCCUAGUAUUUAGUUAUCAGCUGGUAUCGUUUUAAACAUAUGCACGUUAAGAGUUUAUUUGUUUUGUGGUUUAGACGUACUAGAUCUUGCGUU
rnacentral:lncRNA from 1 species